rnacentral:lncRNA from 1 species
UGUCAACACUUUCCCAAGUAAUUCCAUUCUAAACGUCGCAGCAGAUCGAAGUCCGACACUGUUAGCUGUCUUAUGUCGUCCAGUGCUGACUUACAGCAGCGGAAAGUUCUUCCCCGAACAUCCGCUCUCUGCCUCUUACUCGUCUACGAGUCCUUGGGCAGUUCAAGAAACGUAGGCAACUUCUUUUCCCGUAUGCACUUCCGGUUCGCGUCUGUGAGUACAUGGAGCCCUUGAAAUUUGGAUUUCUUUUCCGUGUACACCUGGCAGGACCUUUAGAAGCCCACCUCUAAAGGAGGGGACAUUCAAGGAUAGCUCCAGUAAACAAAGACCCUCGAGAUCUAAACCAGGAGUCCACCUCGCUGCAUGUACUCUUCGGGAAAAGGUUGUUUAUACCGACCCAGAAAUCCCAUUUUAUAAUGUGUGGAGUUCAGGACUUCUCGGCCACACCUUGAGUGACUGCACCAGCGUGGAAUCUACGGAGGGUGACAAGCCUCCAGGAAAAACGAACGAAGUCCCCAUUAUAAACAGUCCAUGAGUGGCGCGGAAACCAGAAACUUUAAAAUGUUCAGUAAAGUCCCUUACGAAUGACAGACAACUGCCCAGCAGCUUCAAAAUCUUGAGCCAUAGCAACUCUUUAAGUUUUCGAGGAACUGGAUGGGCUUGGGUGAAGAAGCUGUCGACACUGUCCUCCGAACGAAAUAGAGAAUUUCCCAUGACAGAGAAAUUUGCGGAGCCCGGGAAAGGAACCUGACCACGGACGCAGGGAACCGCCAUGCUUUUUUGACGUAGCCCUUUUUUAAAAGUGUGUAGUCUACGAGUUGGACUUCCGGAUAGGAUCUUGAAUGCCUUUGUUUACCGGCUUCAAGUUCUACUGUGCUUUUCAUGACCAGGUGAAGGGCAAAGUCCAGUGGUCCCCAGCGUAUGCUUGCAAGACAAGCGUGCUACUCGGACUUUCCAGGAGCGUACAGUGCAGCUCGCAGAACUUGGACAACGCAGUAAACAGAUAAAAGAUGCGAUUCUUUUUCGACAGAGAGAACCGGUGCUUUCGGUUUGUCAGACUUGAAAUGCCCUCAGCAAACGAGUUCUUCUUUCCGU